rnacentral:rRNA from 1 species
GGAUUAGAUACCCUAUUAUUUUUUAUGUAAAUUAUUAAAAACUUAAGUAGUAUUAGUUAUGGUCUUGAAACUUAAAGAAUUUGGCGGUAUUUUAGUCUAUUUAGAGGAAUCUGUCCCGUAAUCGAUAAUCCGCGUUGGACCUUACUUAAUUUAUUGAUAUGUAUAUCUCCGUUAAUUUGAAGAUCUUUUAAGAGUUUAAAUCUUUUUAAUAUUCAUUAAAUAAUUAUUCAGGUCAAGGUGCAGUUUAUAUUUAAGUGGUGAUGGAUUACAAUAUUUUAAAUAUAUACGGAUUAUUAAUUGAAAUAUUAAUAUGAAGGUGGAUUUAAUAGUAAUGUUGUGAAGAUUGUCAAUGUGAUUAUAGCUCUAUAAUAUGUACACAUCGCCCGUCGCUCUCGUUAUAUUUAAGGUGAGAUAAGUC